rnacentral:lncRNA from 1 species
AGGUACUAUUCUUAUGUCAUAUGAUUUGUCCGUGGACUUCAAAGCCUUGCCCUCACUAACAUGACAGCAUAGUUCAGGACAGCAAGUGCACUGUAUUGAAUUGUAAAUUGGAAUAUUGUAGGUUUAUUAGUUUGUUUAGGGGAGAUUGUGAUCUGUCGCACGUUACAUGCAUUAUGCCAUUAUGUGUUUUCCUUCUAGCACUAUGCAAACCUAUGGUGAUCUUGAAAUCAAAUUGGCCCUCUAUACUCAUUUCUUUUAUGCUGAUAUAUGUAUUCCUAAGAAAACCAAUUUGGGUGAAUAUAUACAUGGAGUUUCCAUCCGCCCAUGUAUUUUGUAACACUAUUGGUUCAUAUAUAUUUGUUGUGUUUUUUGUUGGGCUCCAGUGAAAGCGACAUGUUGAGAAACUCGCAUUACCAGCAUGUAAGGUUGGGGUCCAAAUCACUUGCAAAUGAGAUAUUAGAGCUGGAUCAGGUAUGUCAUUCAGCCACUUACCGCUUUUCUUUUCCGUCCAGAUUGGUCAUGGCUAAUUGAUGUGGAUUGUGUUUCUGAAUUUCUACUUCCUAAUUGGUGUUCAGCUGCCACAGACAAGGUAAAGUGCACGCUUGGUGAAUUGUUUCCCGUUGCAACGCAUGGGCAUUUACCUAUUAGAACUCAUUUUCGAAUGUAGCUAUUUGGAAAAAGUAUUUGUACCUUAUUAUAACUUAUUUCUUAAUAUUUUUCUUUACUUAUUAUUUUUAUUGUUAUGUAGUAUCAUAUUUUUGGUCGGAUUCGGAUUCGAAUACGGAUAAUGUCAACAAUACCGGAUAAGAUACGAUUGGAUGUCGACAUCAUAAAUAUACGAUUUAAAUAUUCGGAUACGGAUACGGUAUCGGAUAUUAAACAUUCGGACUCGGAUACGGACAGAUCUCAACCCCUCUAAACGAAUUCGGUCUCGA